CGCGGCGGCCGGGACCGGGCCGCGGCGGCCGCGGGUUGGCAUACGGCGGAGGUUUGGGAGACUCCGGUCCGCUCGGCAGCUGGCGGGCCACCCGGGCCUCCGCGGAGACGAUGGCGAAGGAAGAAGGGUCGUCUGUAGAAGUCCGCCAAAGGAAGAAGCACAAGACUUCAGGAAGCCAGGAAGCCAGAGCACAGAAGACCAGAAGCCCCGCAGUUUCUGAAAGACUUUCAAAAUAUUUGUCAUUUCAGCGCUUUGCCAAGGUGCUUAUUGGCUGUAUCGCGGCCGUUGUCAGUGGCGUGAUGCAUGUUUUCUACUUAUCAGCAUACCACGAGCGGAAAUUCUGGUUUUCCAACAGGCAGGAACUUGAACGAGAAAUCACAUUUCAGGGUGACAGUGCUAUUUAUUACUCCUAUUACAAAGACAUGUUAAAGGCACCGACGUUUGAAAGAGGUGUUUAUGAGCUGACGCACAACAACAAGACCGUCUCCCUGAGGACGAUCAACGCGGUGCAGCAGCUGUCUCUGUACCCGGAGCUCAUUGCCAGUGUUCUCUACCGAGCAACGGGGAGCCAUGAGAUGAUUGAACCAGUAUAUUUCUACAUUGGCAUUGUCUUUGGAUUACAAGGAAUAUAUGUGACAGCUUUAUUUGUCACAAGUUGGCUUAUGAGUGGCACAUGGCUCGCAGGGAUGCUUACUGUUGCAUGGUUCCUAAUUAAUAGGGUGGAUACAACAAGAAUUGAAUACUCUAUUCCUCUAAGAGAAAACUGGGCUCUACCAUAUUUUGCGUGCCAAGUUGCUGCACUUACAGGCUAUUUAAAAAGAAAUCUAAACACUUACGCAGAGAGGUUUUGCUACCUGUUGAUGAGCGCCUCAACGUACACUUUCAUGAUGGUGUGGGAGUACAGCCACUAUGUCUUGUUUCUUCAAGCAGUCUCCCUCCUGCUGCUGGACGUCUUCUCAGAGGAACAAAGUGACAAGAUUUACGAGGUGUAUAAAAUCUACAUAUUUUCCCUUUUCCUUGGGUAUUUACUACAGUUUGAGAAUCCAGCUUUAUUGGUGUCUCCUUUGUUGAGUUUAGUAGGCGCGCUAAUGCUAAUUAAGUGCCUUCAGCUGAAUGGGAAAAAAGGAACUUUUGUGUCUAAAGUAAUCAAAGUGUUUAAGUUUUAUUUGGUAUGUACUCUGCCGCUGACCUUGAAUUUGAUAAUGAAGACAUUUGUCCCACAUAAAGAAAAUGAGCAUGUGCUUAAAUUUCUUGAAGUAAAAUUUGGACUAAAUGUGACUAAGAAUUUCACACUGAACUGGCUGCUCUGUCAGGAGUCUCUCCAGGCACCGUCUCAGGAUUUCUUCUUACGACUGACGCAAUCUUCCCUAUUACCAUUCUAUAUUUUAGUGUUAAUUAUUUGUCUUCUUUCUAUGACACAAGUUAUUUUUCGGAGGAUGAAUGGUAAAUCCCAGAAAGAAAUUGUAACUCUUGAAGACGGGAGAAUUGGAGAAAGGCCAGAAAUCAUUUAUCAUGUCUUUCAUACUCUUAUACUGGGUUCUCUUGCAAUGCUGAUGGAAGGCUUGAAAUUCCUCUGGACCCCGUACGUGUGCAUGCUGGCCGCGUUUGGCGUCUGCUCCCCUGAGCUGUGGAUGACACUCUUAAAGUGGCUUCGGCUGAGGACUGUGCACCCUAUCCUGCUGGCUCUUAUUCUGAGCAUGGCUGUGCCUACUAUUAUAGGUCUUAGUUUAUGGAAAGAGUUUUUUCCGAGAUUAAUUACAGAGUUAACAGAACUACAGGAAUUCUAUGAUCCAGAUACAGUGGAGCUCAUGACCUGGAUAAAGAGACAAGCUCCAGUUGCAGCCGUGUUUGCAGGAAGCCCGCAGUUAAUGGGUGUGAUCAAGCUGUGUACCGGCUGGAUGGUGACGAGCUUGCCACUUUACAGCGAUGACGAUCUUCUCAAGAGAAACGAAAACAUUUACCAGAUCUAUUCAAAGCGAUCUGCUGAGGACAUUUAUAAGAUACUAACAUCUUACAAAGCUAACUACCUAAUUGUAGAAGACGCCAUCUGCAAUGAGAUGGGAACCAUGAGGGGCUGCAGGGUUAAAGAUUUAUUAGAUGUUGCAAAUGGACAUGUGCUUUGUGAAGAAGACAACAAAUUAACUUUUUCAAAGUACGGACGGUUUUGUCACGAGGUCAAGAUUAACUAUUCUCCGUAUGUGAACUACUUUACUCGUGUGUACUGGAACAGGUCCUACUUCGUGUAUAAAGUCAACACUGUGAUCUCCUUCCAGUCUUGAGAAUAGCAGAGCCUUCGCGUCAAAGACUGCUACUUGAAGUCCCACGCAGGGUUCUGGACCUGCACAGUGUCCUGCAGGUGGUGGGAUGUCUGAACUGCUGCUCCUCCUCCCACGCCUGCUGCUGAUUCCUGGGUUGACCGUUUUGUUGGAAGUAGAUCAGAUGCUGCUGUCUUAGUAAAAUGUCAGAUCCAGCACAGCAAUCUUCCUGACAGCUUUCUUCCUUAGUACAUGAUUUAAAGAUUUCCUGUCACAUCAUCUCCUCGUGAAUCUUAUCUAUCAUAAUAUUGAUCUUUAAUUUGGAUAUUUUUCAAGGUGUGUGCGCUUAGAGUCACUUUAAGAUGCUUUACCAUUGUGGAGCCUAACUGACGUUUUCAUACCUCUGUCUAGCGUCUCAGGCUGACUCUGAGCACCUUGGGAAUCAGUAGCGGUUAGCAUCAGGCUUUGUGAAAAAUGACCAGUGCUCAAGUUCACAGUGAGUAGCCAUUUGGUCAUACUUAGGAUCAAAUCAUGCAGAAGCCGGGCGCUGGUGGCACACGCCUUUAACCAGCACUUGGGAGGCAGAGGCAGGUCCUCUGAGUUUGAAGCCACCCUACUCUACAAUAGCUAGUUCUAGGACAGCCUCCAAAGCUACAGAGAAACCCUGCCUUGAAAAACCAACCAACCCAACCAACCAACCAACAACAACAACAAAGCAAAACAAAACCACGCAGAAGCAGCUUAUAUACUGUAAAGUACAAACCCUGUUUCCCUUGUGAUAUGAAAUAUUCAAUUGAAUUUUUACUGACAUGGUAACGUGUGGUGUUUUAGUUGCUGUUUUUUUUCCCUGAAAUAAUAAUUUGCUUUGCUCCUGUCAAUAUAUUUCUUAAAUAGACACACAAUUUCUUAAUUAAAAGUUUAUAGUUAGUCCCA